GAACGCACAGCCAGAGAGCCAUGCUCUAGUGCCUCCCAGCUUCUGGUCUGAGCCACUUCAGGACUGUGGCUGCACCUCCUGAAUCAAAGAACCCAGAUAAUUUCCUCUUCUGGCUUUUCCAGUAUGGCUUUUUGUUCUGUGGGACCACACUCAGAAGGUGCUGGAAAUUAAGAAGAAAUAGUUGCCAUGUCAUCUACAAAUGCCCCUCGAGAGCUUCCAAGGUAUCAUUGAUCUAACUUUACCCACUGACAUACUGUGCAGGGAUCAGGGAACCUGUUUGAUCCCUCCAGGAAAGAAAGCACAAUAACGAAAAAUGGAUUAAUGGGGUCCUGCCUUCAUAUCGGUCAAUGGAAUAAAGAAAGUAAUCCAAGCCACCAUCAAGGACUACAUCUAGUAAAAACCCCUGUGUAUGCUGAAUAGAUAUAGGUAAUUUUGUGCUUCUAGGACUUAAAUCUUUCCAGGUACCUCCAUACUCCUUAUACAGGGAUUUAUACAUUCUAUCAUUAAGGAAAUAUUUAAUCCAAUUUUUUUGGAUGGAGAAAGAGAUGCAAAAUGGUCGAGCAAUUUCCCCAUGAUCAUACAGUAAAUGUAUUUAUGUUUCCAAAUGGAUAUGAUUCUAUGCAAUUAUUUAGUGCUAAUGCAAUGUGAAGAUUGAAAAGGAAAGUCAGGAAAUGCAAUGUUAUGGCUGGGGUUUAAGUUUAAGCCUGCCCAAAUAUAGGCUUACUUUAUUUUUAAAAAAAAUGUCAAAUAGCACACAUGAAAAUUCUGCUGCAGUUAAGCAGCAUUAUACACAGUCAUUUCAAGCAAAAAACACAGUCUCUCAGUGACUGAUGCGUGGGUCAAGAAAUCCAAGAAUCAAUCAAUCAGUUUAUUACUUUUUCUUACAUUUAAAUUUUAAAAAUGAAUGCACCAACUGGUUUAUGGAUUUCUUGACCCACACUUCAGUUACUGUUUGAAAAAAUCUAUAUUCUUAAUUCAGAGA